CAUACGGGGGGCAGCAGUGGGGAAUAUUGGACAAUGGGGGCAACCCUGAUCCAGCCAUGCCGCGUGUGUGAAGAAGGCCCUCGGGUUGUAAAGCACUUUCAGUGAGGAAGAACGCCUGGUGGUUAAUACCCAUCAGGAAAGACAUCACUCACAGAAGAAGCACCGGCUAACUCCGUGCCAGCAGCCGCGGUAAUACGGAGGGUGCGAGCGUUAAUCGGAAUUACUGGGCGUAAAGCGCGCGUAGGUGGCUUGAUAAGCCGGUUGUGAAAGCCCCGGGCUCAACCUGGGAACGGCAUCCGGAACUGUCAAGCUAGAGUGCAGGAGAGGAAGGUAGAAUUCCCGGUGUAGCGGUGAAAUGCGUAGAGAUCGGGAGGAAUACCAGUGGCGAAGGCGGCCUUCUGGACUGACACUGACACUGAGGUGCGAAAGCGUGGGUAGCAAACAGGAUUAGAUACCCCGGUAGUC
rnacentral:rRNA from 1 species